rnacentral:rRNA from 1 species
AUACGUAGGUGACAAGCGUUAUCCGGAUUUACUGGGCGUAAAGGGCGUGUAGGCGGUCUUGCAAGUCAGAAGUGAAAUUCCUGAGCUCAACUCGGGCGCUGCUUCUGAAACUGCAGGACUUGAGUGCUGGAGGGGAUAGCGGAAUUCCUAGUGGAGCGGUAAAAUGCGCAGAUAUUAGGAAGAACACCGGUGGCGAAGGCGGCUAUCUGGACAGUAACUGACGCUGAGGCGCGAAAGCGUGGGGAGCAAACAGGAUUAGAUACCCUGGUAGUCCACGCCGUGAACGAUGAAUACUAGGUGUAGGGGGUAUCGACUCCCUCUGUGCCGCAGUUAACACAAUAAGUAUUCCGCCUGGGGAGUACGGCCGCAAGGUUGAAACUCAAAUGAAUUGGCGGGG